AGCGAACGCUGGCGGCAGGCCUAACACAUGCAAGUCGAACGGAUCCUUCGGGAUUAGUGGCGGACGGGUGAGUAACACGUGGGAACGUGCCUUUUGGUUCGGAACAACUCAGGGAAACUUGAGCUAAUACCGGAUAAGCCUUUCGAGGGGAAGAUUUAUCGCCAUUAGAGCGGCCCACGUAGGAUUAGCUAGUUGGUGGG
rnacentral:rRNA from 1 species